GAUGAACGCUGGCGGCGUGCCUAAUACAUGCAAGUCGAGCGAACAGACGAGGAGCUUGUUCCUCUGACGUUAGCGGCGGACGGGUGAGUAACACGUGGAUAACCUACCUAUAAGACUGGGAUAACUUCGGGAAACCGGAGCUAAUACCGGAUAAAAUGUUUAACCGCAUGGUUCAACAGUGAAAGACGCUCUUGCUGUCACCUAUAGAUGUAUCCGCGGGUCAUGAGCGAGUUGGGGAGGUAAGGGCGUACCAAGGCGACGAGACAUAGCCGACCUGAGGGGGGGAUCGGCGAGAGUGGGAAUGAGACACGGGCCAAACUCCGACGGGAGGCAGCAGGAGGGAAUCUUCGGCAAUGGAAGAAAGUCUGACCGAGCAACGCCGCGUGAGUGAAGAAAGUUUUCGGAUCGUAAAACUAUGUUGGUAGAGAAGAACGUUGGGGAGAGUGGAAAGCUCAUCAAGUGACGGUAACUACCCAGAAAGGGACGGCUAACUACGUG
rnacentral:rRNA from 1 species